GACGAACGCUGGCGGCGUGCUUAACACAUGCAAGUCGAACGGGAUCGGCUGGAGCUUGCUCCGGCCGUGAGAGUGGCGAACGGGUGAGUAAUGCGUGACCGACCUGCCCCAUACACCGGAAUAGCUCCUGGAAACGGGUGGUAAUGCCGGAUGCUCCAGUUGGAUGCAUGUCCUUCUGGGAAAGAUUCAUCGGUAUGGGAUGGGGGUCGCGUCCUAUCAGCUUGAUGGCGGGGUAACGGCCCACCCAUGGCUU
rnacentral:rRNA from 1 species